AUAGAAGUGUCUCCUGGCUCAGAUUGAGCGCUGGCCACAGGCCUAACACACACAAGUGGGACGGGAGCACAGAGAGCUUGUUCUUGGGUGACGAGUGGCGGACGGGUGAGUAAUGUCUGGGGAUCUGCCCGAUAGAGGGGGAUAACCACUGGAAACGGUGGCUAAUACCGCAUAACGUCGCAAGACCAAAGAGGGGGACCUUCGGGCCUCUCACUAUCGGAUGAACCCAGAUGGGAUUAGCUAGUAGGCGGGGUAAUGGCCCACCUAGGCGACGAUCCCUAGCUGGUCUGAGAGGAUGACCAGCCACACUGGAACUGAGACACGGUCCAGACUCCUACGGGAGGCAGCAGUGGGGAAUAUUGCACAAUGGGCGCAAGCCUGAUGCAGCCAUGCCGCGUGUAUGAAGAAGGCCUUCGGGUUGUAAAGUACUUUCAGCGGGGAGGAAGGCGAUGUGGUUAAUAACCGCGUCGAUUGACGUUACCCGCAGAAGAAGCACCGGCUAACUCCGUGCCAGCAGCCGCGGUAAUACGGAGGGUGCAAGCGUUAAUCGGAAUUACUGGGCGUAAAGCGCACGCAGGCGGUCUGUUAAGUCAGAUGUGAAAUCCCCGGGCUUAACCUGGGAACUGCAUUUGAAACUGGCAGGCUUGAGUCUUGUAGAGGGGGGUAGAAUUCCAGGUGUAGCGGUGAAAUGCGUAGAGAUCGGAGGAAUACCGGUGGCGAAGGCGGCCCCCGGACAAAGACGACGUCAGGUGCGAAAGCUGAGCAGCCA
rnacentral:rRNA from 1 species